GUGGGGAAUUUUGGACAAUGGGCGCAAGCCUGAUCCAGCAAUGCCGCGUGCAGGAAGAAGGCCUUCGGGUUGUAAACUGCUUUUGUACGGAACGAAACGGUCCGGGUUAAUACCCUGGGCUAAUGACGGUACCGUAAGAAUAAGCACCGGCUAACUACGUGCCAGCAGCCGCGGUAAUACGUAGGGUGCAAGCGUUAAUCGGAAUUACUGGGCGUAACGCGUGCGCAGGCGGUUUUGUAAGACAGGCGUGAAAUCCCCGGGCUCAACCUGGGAAUUGCGCUUGUGACUGCAAGGCUGGAGUGCGGCAGAGGGGGAUGGAAUUCCGCGUGUAGCAGUGAAAUGCGUAGAUAUGCGGAGGAACACCGAUGGCGAAGGCAAUCCCCUGGACCUGUACUGACGCUCAUGCACGAAAGCGUGGGGAGCAAACAGGAUUAGAAACCCCAGUAGUCC
rnacentral:rRNA from 1 species